UCAUAUUUCCCUCCUCCUUUUUCACUUUCUUUUGAACUACCCUCCAAAAUUUUCCUCCGCCCCCAAAACGAAAAUCCCUUGAGGGUUAAGACGAAAAGCCCCAAAUCCUGAUUUAUUUCUAAUCGUCGUCGAUCUCUCACCGGCAUCUUCACUAGUUGUCCAUCUCUCACUGUCCGUCGCAGGGUAUGGUUUAUCUCAAGUUCUGGGUUCGAUCUCUCUGAAUCUGAAGCUCUUCUGUUGCCGCCGUUGCUAGAGUCGUUUGACAGCAUGAAGUACGGAGUUUUUGAGCGAAAAUCCAGAAGUACUGUAUGUCGAUCCAUCCGUGGUUUAUACAAGUCCUCGAAGCCGGUGUGUGUCAGUAGACUAAACAGGUAGAAGAUCUAAAGCAAAACCCCAAAUUGGUUGUUCGAAUAAGAGGAUAAUCGGAAUCUUCGGCAGAAUCGGUCCCUCACUUUAAGCCAAUUUCUACCAAAAUCUUAUGAACUCGAGGCAACGAGGUGCACAAAAGUGAAAUGGAAGAAAAGCGAAGGACGCAUUGGAAGGAAAGAGUACGUCGAAUCGCGAUGCUUCGGAUCCAUUGCUCAACAAUUGAUGGUGAUCAUUUGGUAGAUGAAGAUACAAUGUAGUAGGAGAUAUGAAAUGAACAAUGUUUUGGAGGGACAAAACUGCCUUUUGUCUUACGUUUUGGUACUACUAGAUGGAAGAAGGAUGUCUUUUAGUUUUUGGUAUAUGGCAGUACACAUUAUAUAUAGACCUUGGAUUGUGGUUUUUGCCAUUGACGCUUGAUGUUAUGUUCGGGGGGGUUUUUGGCUUUUGUUUUGGGUAUUGAAGAAGAUUAAGGUUAAGAUACCGUGUUUUGACUUAUGUUAACUGGUUUAAGUUAAUGUUAUUCUAUUGCCUUUGAGUUUGA